rnacentral:rRNA from 1 species
UCGCGCCAGCGGCAUGGCCGGUUGGCUACGUUCGGGAGGGAUAACCGCUGAAAGCAUCUAAGCGGGAAGCCUGCUCCAAGAUUAGGAUUCCUUGACGCUCCCCGGAGCGCCUGUAGCCCGCAUGUUGAACACGUGUUCGAUAGGCCGGAGGUGGAAGUCCCGCGAGGGGUGGAGCCGACCGGUACUAACGGGCGAACGCGGCA